ensembl:lncRNA
AGCUAAACUUUGCAGGAGAGUCGAUUGCCAGGAGCAGGGUUGGGCACCCCUGGUCGAUGCGUCUAAGACCAGCACUCUUGAGGCCGCUGCCAAACCUGAAGAACCUCCGGCGCCAAAACCAGAGGAGAAGAAACUAGAAAAGAAAUCCACUUUUGGAAACAUGUUCAAACCCAAGGCACCAGAGCCCAAGAAGGACACUCCAGCUGCUCCUCCCGUGGCAGAAGCCGCUCCACCCGCAAAGGCCAAAGAGGAGCCGAGACCCACCACUCCUGCACAGCAAGCGGUCCCGGACAACAAAUCAGCCGACAGCACAGGGAACGCCUCCCCCAACAUGCCCCACAAGCUGGAGAAGAGGAACUCCCUCCAGCUGUUCUUCAAAAACCUGGGCCAAAAACGCCAUUCUGAUGCCGGAGUGCAAACGGACCCUGUGGCACCCGAGAAGGCCAAAUAAAACCCCGCCUUUGUUUUGAUCGCUCAUCUGUGCCAAAACCAUUGGCAGCCAUGCACAUAAGAACAUAUUUACCAAAGUUGGGAGGUAUUAUGCUGACUUGCAAGGCCCAAGUUUGAAGUAACUAUCAAAUAAUAAUCUGAAUUCCCAUGCAUUUAAUGAGAGCAGAAGUAAGUGUAACGAUUUCCCUGUUAAGCAAGUGCUACAUGUGUUUAUGACCGGAGGGAGGAACUCGUGUUGUUUUUCAGAGAGAAACGUGUCAGAGUUGCGUGGUGUGGCAUGAGAUGGAAAAGUGAAAGUGAAAAUGUAAUCCUGCAUUGAAGAUAAACUCCCUUUUUUAUGUGCAUGUUAAAAUGUAAAAUAUGUUAACUAUACUAACACUACUUAUAUUGCAUCACACAUUAAAGCCGAUGCAUUAAGAUGCCUUUUCACCGGGACAAAGAUAACAUCAUGCGCGUUUGCAUGUGAAAAGAAUUUAUUUAUGUAAUCAUACACUGUCAUCUGAUUAUGAAUACAAUGACCCAUCGUCUGCUGAAUUCAAUCACUGAAACCUACAAAGCCAAUUUGAAUUCCACUUAAAGUGCAAAACUUCUGAAUCACUUUAAUAAAUCCAUAGAAAUCACAAUUAUUUAUUUAACAUAAUGUCAAUCAAAUUGAGCACCAUAUAUUAUUACUCCAAAUUAUUCGGUUAUUUAAGUUCAGCCCAGUUUCUAUUUAAAAAAUAAUAAUUGUUUUCAUUUCUACAAUUGUUUAUUAAUCAUAACUUACUAACUAAACCACAUUACAAUUAUUGUCUUUUUAUUUGCUUGGCCGUCCAUUUCUGACCGGAGGAGACUAAAAAGAAAUUAAGCUAGUUAAAUGUUUUAUUUUCUUUCUUAUUUUCCGAACAUAUCAGUUGUUAUUAGAACAGUAUGAAAUAAAUAUGUGGUAUACAGUUAUGCAAUAUACAAUGUACAUUCAAUUUAGCUGCAGUCACAUGUGUUUUAUGAUUUUCUUCCUAAUUAUCGCUACAUUUGUAAAGAGUAGAUGGGCCUAAUUAAGAAUUCAGACUGUAUCCAUGAAUCUUAGACUUUCUGUAACUCCUUUGUUGCAUUUUUGUCUAUUUAACCAAUUUAUAAAAAUAAAAGAAUCAUUUCUCUCCUCUGUAAAAAUGACUCGUUCUGUAUUUACAGCAUGAAAACAUAGAUUUUAAAAUAUAUAGUUUUACAUUUUCCUGGGGGAAAAAAAGUGUUUGCUGGUGUAGGUUUCCACAUGGCUAUAUAUAUAUAUAUAUAUAUAUAUAUAUAUUGUAAUUAUGAUUUAGUUUACAGCUAAUUUCUUAAUAGUUUGCUUUGUUAAGUCUGAUAUUUCCAAAGAGGGCAUGUGUCCGGACCGCCUACAGGGCAGCACAAAUUUGGAAAACUAUUAACAUGGGACAAAAGAUGCAUGGUAUUCUAGGCACUUUUUGUGAGUGCAGUGUGCUCUUCAUGCUGGUGUUUUCCCG